rnacentral:tRNA from 1 species
GCCGCAACGGAACAACGGAAGUUCACUGGGUAACGGGGACGUAGGUUCGAAUCCUAUUUGCGGCU